rnacentral:lncRNA from 1 species
CGGAGCAGGGCGGUCCGGCCGACGCUGAUGGAAGUCGCGGACAAGGACGGGAGCCAGGACGUCCUUCACCGGAACCCAGCUCCGCUCCUCCGGGCCGUACCCCUCCCACUCCACGAGGUACUGGAGGCCCCCCGCCCGGCGCCUCGAGUCGACGAUGGAGCGGACAGAGUACGCCGGGGCCCCCUCGAUGUCCAGAGGGGGAGGGGGCACCUCCCGCACCUCACACCCCUGGAGGGGACCAUCCACCACCGGCCUGAGGAGAGACACAUGAAACGAGGGGUUAAUACGGUAGUCGGGGGGAAGGCGCAACCGAUAUGUUACCUCGUUGACUCUCCUCAGGACUUUAAAAGGCCCCACAAACCGCGGGGCCAGCUUCCGGCAGGGCAGGCGGAGGGGCAGGUCCCUGGACGAGAGCCAGACCCGGUCGCCCGGCCGAUACACCGGGGCCUCCCCGCGGUGGCGGUCUGCAGAGGUCUUUUGACGGCGGACAGCGAGCCGGAGGCGGGAUUGUACUGCCUCCCAUGUGCCCGCUGCCCGCCGGAACCAGUCGUCCACCGCAGGGGUACCGGUCUGGCUCGGCGUCCACGGCGCCAGGACCGGCUGGUAGCCCAGGACGCACUGGAAAGGCGUCACUCCCGUGGAGGAGUGGUGCAGAGAAUUCAGUGCGUAUUCCGCCCACGGCAGAAACUCUGCCCACUCCCCCGGCCGGUCCUGGCAGUAGGACCGGAGGAACCUACCCACUUCUUGAUUGACCCGUUCCACCUGCCCGUUGGACUGGGGAUGGUAGCCCGAGGUCAGGCUGACCGAGAUCCCCAGGUGCUGCAUAAAUGCCUUCCACACCCUAGACGUGAAUUGGGGACCCCGGUCAGACACGAUGUCCUCGGGCACCCCAUAGUGCCGGAAGACGUGUGUAAACAGGGACUUCGAGAACCGAUCCACAACGACCAGGAUGGUGGUAUGGCCCUGGGAAGGGGGGAGAUCAGUCAAAAAAUCAACAGAAAGGUGGGACCAUGGUCGUUGUGGAAUGGGCAAGGGGUGCAACUUGCCCACAGGUAGGUGCCGGGGUGCCUUACUCUGGGCGCACACCGAGCAGGAAGAGACGUACACCCUCACGUCCUUGGCUAAAGUGGGCCACCAGUACUUACCGGCCAGGGCGCGCACUGUUGGCCCGAUGCCAGGAUGACCGGAGGAGGGAGAUGUAUGCGCCCAGUAGAUGAGGCGGUCGCGGACAGACGCCGGCACAUACGUACGGCCCUCAGGGCAUGUGGGCGGAGAGGGCUCGUUGCGCUGCGCUCGGGCGAUGUCCGCGUCCAGUUCCCAUACCACCGGUGCCACGAUGCAUGACUCCGGGAGCACGGGAGCAUCAUCCACAGGCCUCUCCUCCGUGUCAUGCUGGCGGG